UCAAGGGUGGUUCAGUGGUAGAAUGCUCGCCUGCUACGCGGGCAGCCCUGGUUCGAUUCCUGGCCGAUGCA
rfam:Heligmosomoides polygyrus genome assembly, scaffold: HPBE_scaffold0001029